UGGAAAUCCCUCCUGCUGGCAAAGGCACGGGAGCUGCGAACUUCUGAACAAGGCAGGCAGCACGCCCUGGGGAAAGGCAGGGGUCAAACGCGUCUGGGGGAAGCUCGGUCAGCUGAAGCUGGAAGAAGUUUGCUGAAUCGCUUUUGAAAAGACAGCACACCUUUGCAUGUGGCCAGGUGCUACGCUCAGCACCAGGAGCACAGCACAUGCCUUGUGUGUCAGUAGCUAGGUCAAAAUUCCUGAAGCCAAAGGCUACGCACAGCUGUGGGCUGGCCUGUCAGGAAAGCAGCAGCAUCAGUCCAAGGGCAGAGCACAGUAGGGACAGAAGGCACUUCAGCACCUCUCCCUCCCAUGGUGGCAGGGCCAGGGAACCCCGGGGAUGUCCAGAGAGACCUCGGCUCCUCACAAACAGUCCCAGAAAUAAAAAGGAAAACCAGUAGGCACUAGACACUACAUUCCUAGUGCUAGAAAUUUAUCGUGUUGAUCAGGGACCUCUCACUGGUUAAACUCUAAAGCUAAUCUCAGCUUCUUUGAACAAACCACUCUGUUGUAUUUUGAGUAUUAUUUUCCAGAGGAACAGGAACCGAAACACUACAGUAAUCACAUUUCUUUGUGGAGUAUGAAGAGAAUCUUUUCAGAAACCAUACAAACAAAUCAGGAUAAGUUCUGCAGCUGCACAGAUGAGAACAACAUAGAGCAGAACAGAGAAACACUUCUUUUGCCAUUAAAAGCAGGUAAAUAAAUAAAACAAGAGUGCUUCACAAUACUGUCGCAGAUUGUUUCCACAGAAGCAGUCUGGAUGCAGUCAGAACAAUCAAGUUGGACCUGAUCUGGUAGCGCAGUUAAUAUUAGCUGUUAGAAAUUAAUUCCAUAAUAUUAAUUUCUGGUUUGUUGGCUUUUAUUGACCAACAAUUUGGUGUUAGGCGGAGUGUUGCAUAACUGAUUGCUUGCCAGCAAUACUAUCUUUCAGAAGGCAACAAGCAUCUUAUCUAUACUAGAGGAGAAAAAGAUAAUAAUCUCUUGGCAAGGUACUGUUUACAAAAGCCAGAUUUAUACUGGCAGUAAUGCCUUUAAAUUGCAAUUAACAAUGGUUUCACGGUUUAGUUUACUGUGAAAAGGAAGAUUACUAAAGAUUUGGAGAAACAUACUUGCUGACACUACUUUGCGUCGAUAUUUAGACAUCUGGAUGCCCCAGUACACCACACUGACGGUUCAGACAGGGUGCUCUGGUGUACGUUGCUCUUCAGUGGAUGCUCUACGGUAAAACACAUCUGCUUUGUGCACAGCCUCUUACAAGUUACUGGGUGUGCAAUAAUACUUUAAGAGUUUUUUGACCUCUUGAGAGCUGGAGCUGUGGGGUGUAUCUAGCAAUGCACCCCUCUGAUGGUGCAGAACCUCUGGAGAGGGUCAGUACGGGCUCCUCGAGCACCCUCCAGGUACAGGCUGCUCCUCAGGAGGGAGACCUUCACCACACUGGGCAAGCAAGCUUCUCCCAGGACCAGGGCUUGCAAGGGUAAAGCAGACCCUCCAUCACCUGUAACUCAGCAAGACUUUGAGGAUCUGGACAUAGGAGGAAAACUAAUCUCUUCCAUCCCUUAACCAACUGACAACAUACCUCAGCCUAAAUCCGUGUGUCUUCUGCUACUCUGAGCAUGCUGUCAUUUGAAACACAUUCACUGUGUCUCCAUGUUCCUGCUUUUCUCCACAUCCGACUCUCUCAAAAUACUGAUGAGCCUGUCAUUCCAAUUGCUCUAAUACUCAUCUGUAUCUGGUGUCAGGCAUAAAAUUCAGAAGAUCUUCUGUAAGAUGUUUUUGCUGUUGUGCAGUAAUACAAAAACAUAUUCAUAAAGUCUAUGCAUUUGUCAAUAUGAUAAAUAGUGUUAUCUCUCAGAAGCUGAAUUCAUUACCUUCUCUGAUGCUAUCAGUACUGAGCAGAGUACUAACAGAUCAGGUGAAAACAGCAUUAGAAAGCAGGUUGCCUUCACAUUAGGUGCCUGUGUGGCUACAAGCAGAAAAGCUGACAUAUUUACCAGAAAUACUAAUAACUCUAGAUGCCUUUAAUGUUGACCCAUUCUAAUACUGA